rnacentral:rRNA from 1 species
AACGCUAGCUACAGGCUUAACACAUGCAAGUCGAGGGGCAGCAUGAACUUAGCUUGCUAAGUUUGAUGGCGACCGGCGCACGGGUGAGUAACACGUAUCCAACCUGCCGAUGACUCGGGGAUAGCCUUUCGAAAGAAAGAUUAAUACCCGAUGGCAUAGUUCUUCCGCAUGGUAGAACUAUUAAAGAAUUUCGGUCAUCGAUGGGGAUGCGUUCCAUUAGGUUGUUGGCGGGGUAACGGCCCACCAAGCCUUCGAUGGAUAGGGGUUCUGAGAGGAAGGUCCCCCACAUUGGAACUGAGACACGGUCCAAACUCCUACGGGAGGCAGCAGUGAGGAAUAUUGGUCAAUGGACGAGAGUCUGAACCAGCCAAGUAGCGUGAAGGAUGACUGCCCUAUGGGUUGUAAACUUCUUUUAUACGGGAAUGAAGUGAGGCACGUGUGCCUUUUUGUAUGUACCGUAUGAAUAAGGAUCGGCUAACUCCGUGCCAGCAGCCGCGGUAAUACGGAGGAUCCGAGCGUUAUCCGGAUUUAUUGGGUUUAAAGGGAGCGUAGGCGGACGCUUAAGUCAGUUGUGAAAGUUUGCGGCUCAACCGUAAAAUUGCAGUUGAUACUGGGUGUCUUGAGUACAGUAGAGGCAGGCGGAAUUCGUGGUGUAGCGGUGAAAUGCUUAGAUAUCACGAAGAACUCCGAUUG